rnacentral:rRNA from 1 species
GACGAACGCUGGCGGCGUGCCUAACACAUGCAAGUCGAGCGAGGAACUUCGGUUCCUAGCGGCGGACGGGUGAGUAACACGUGGGUAACCUGGCUCAUAGAGGGGGAUAGCCUCCCGAAAGGGAGAUUAAUACCGCAUAAGAAGCGAAAGUCGCAUGGCUUUAGCUUUAAAGGAGUAAUCCGCUAUGAGAUGGGCCCGCGGCGCAUUAGCUAGUUGGUGAGGUAACGGCUCACCAAGGCAACGAUGCGUAGCCGACCUGAGAGGGUGAUCGGCCACAUUGGAACUGAGACACGGUCCAGACUCCUACGGGAGGCAGCAGUGGGGAAUAUUGCACAAUGGGCGAAAGCCUGAUGUAGCAACGCCGCGUGAGUGAUGACGGCCUUCGGGUUGUAAAGCUCUGUCUUUGGGGACGAUAAUGACGGUACCCAAGGAGGAAGCCACGGCUAACUACGUGCCAGCCGCCGCAGUAACAC